UAUUAAAAAUUUCAUCCAUUUAGACUAUUAAAAACCAGUGUGGCUGAUGGAAAAAUCAGGCAUUAAUAUGUGGUAUAUCAUGUGUACUACAGGGACAAUUUUUACAAUUAAAAUAGAUAGAAUUUUUAACA
rnacentral:pre_miRNA from 1 species